AUCAACUUCAAAUUGCAAUGUCAAGUUUCUUUUGCGCUCAGCACUAAUCUUUCGGUUAGCGGGAGUGCAAAAUAUAGAUAAAACUAUAAAAUGAAUAGGUUCACAUUAAUACCAUAAUUUAUUUGUUACUAGAGUCGGAAAGACCUAAAGUAGUGAUAUGUCGAAUCAAAGCAGUUGUAAUACGGAUUUAGGAUUAGAAAAUUCAAGCUGCAAAACAUCAGAAAAUGCCUCCAAAUCAUGUUGUGAAGGAUCUAAUUGUGCAGGAAAUAAAAAUAAAUCCUGCAAUAAAGGAGAAUCAACUGAAAAAGUUGUAAGAGAAUGCUGCAAAGGAAAAAAAUGCUGCAGGGCUAAUUAAUCUUGAAUGCGGAAUUCAAAUUUGCAGGAUACAUGUCUAUACAUUCAGCAAUCAUAAUGUUUGUUGUAAAGCUUCUGUAUUUUUUAUGAUUAUGAAGAUAAUAUUGUUUUUUAUUCUUCAAGAAUGUAAGAAAAUAAAGAUUUGGAAGAGCA